ensembl:snRNA U6 U6 spliceosomal RNA
CUCCUCCACCCAUGGGAUUUUCCAGUUGAAAUGAUACAGAGAAGAUUAGCAUGGCCCCUGCACAGGGAUCUAACUUCUCAUACACAUGGUGUGGUCUUGCUA